CUGUUGCACCAUGUCCAGCCACCACUGAACUACAUCCUGUGAUACCGCCAGGAUUUUAGACUAUGUAUGUCUGGAUUUCUGCCUGAGAGAGAAUCCUCAACUGAAUCAAGGGACUGUCAUCAUCCUGUGAGUGCUUUCCUGCAGAGAGUCAUUUGAACGAGACAGCGCGCCUGCACCAGGGCCACAGUCUGGGGCAGCAGAGUGCUCUCUAAAAGAUGUUCAGCCCCCCAGAUGACAGCGCAGACAUGACAUCUACACACCGAAUGGGAAAAGAACCAUGGAAGAUUAUGCGUCUAGGACAAUUGUGCUAUCGUACUGCUACUGCAGAGCAAAACAGAAAUUGUUUUUCCGUUACGUGAUUAUUGUAAUGUAAUUUACAUUAUGUCGGAGCAGAAAUAAGCUCAAAUAUUUGAGAUACUG